UCACUAAGCAUGAUGCUCUCUCGGUCCAUCCACAUUUCUGGGGCAUUUUAAGUACUGACUCCUGGGUCCCACCUCCAGCCAUUCUGCCAUGAGAUGAAGCCAGGCACCGCAGUUUUCGAAGCUCCCUCGGGGGAUUUGAAUACGCAGCAAAACACAUUUCACCUGGUGGCCUCUCCGCAGGAGGCUGGCAUCACACUGGCUGGUGAUGCUUUCUGGGCUUUGUCGGAUUUUCAUUCCUCAGGAAACAGAACCAGGAGUGACCAGCGAGGCCCAGCCCAGUGGCAGAGCUGAGAUCUCUGUGACCGGCAGAGGGUCCCUGGCUGAGAGAGGGUACCGGUUGCCUUCUGCCUGCCUGCCCCAGGCAAGGUGAGUGCUGGCUGGACACAGGCGUCCUGGGGCUGUGUGUUUGUGGCCACCAUCCCUCCAGCAGCGAUUGCAGAAACUCAGGAGAAGGGCAUGAGUACCACACGCAACUGAUGCUGGAGACUUGGGUCUCCAAACGGGUCACGGUUUGAAUACUGGGGGGUCCCAGGUGAGUCCCCUACUCUUUCCACUCGUUCAUUUUUUCAUACACAUUUUUGGCCAUUUACCAAGCACUCUGCUGGGCCCAGCGAAAACAGGUGAAUUGGUGUAAGUGAUCGCCAGGCAGGAAGGGCAGGGAAGGAGAAAAUUCAGGCAGAGGCCAGGGACUGUAAGUGGUCAGAUAAGGACGGCUCGAGGGAGGGAAAGGCAGGGGCCCAAUCAAGCCUCGGGCACCAUGCUGAGGAGCUCAGGCUUUAUCCUGGAUGAGCUCUCCCCUGAGGGGGAUCCAUAGCCCGUGCUAGCAGUGGGCUAGCAGACCACCCGGCACUCUGAAUCCUGGGACCGCCCCACCCCACCCCAUGCACUGCUGGUCACUGGGAGCACUCAAGACAGGAAGUUGCAAUUUUUUUUAAGUGAAAAAAAGAUUUCAGCAAGUGAGAUAAGGUGGUAUCAGCACCACGGCAACCACCUUCAGCUGUUAGCACUUUGCAGCUUGAAAGUGACUUUGCUGGCCUUUUAUCACAAGAUUCACAACCAGCCUAUGAGACAGGAGUCAAGAUUUUCCCCAUUUCACAGGGCCCUGCAUGUGGAUAAAGCUCAGGAAACGCAGGUUGGAAGGAAGCCUGACUGUGGAGACCAACGGUCAGACCUGACAGUAAAGCCCUUCCUUACCCCAGCCAGCUUCCGAAGCAAAGAGAAAAGAGCAGAGCAGGCUGCUUCAGAAGCGGACCCCAUGUCGCCCCCUGGAGGUCAGCGAUGCCAUCAAGGCUCAGCCUACACCAUGAACGGGUCACAAGCAGCAGCCCGGGAAGACUGUGGUCUGACUGCCCAGCAAGUUCUAUGAAUAAGCCCAGUCUUCACUCACAGUUCAUGAAAGGAACACUGUCCCAGAGCAGCCUCAGCCCCUGUGGGUUUCAGCUCAGAAGGAGAAUGUUGUUGCUUGAGCCUCUUUCGAGUUUUAAAAAGGACAAGGAAAGGCACUGUGUACAGUGUUUUACUUCGGGCCUUUUUUUUUUCAUUACUCCAAACUGUUGGAUGUUGAAAACCUUGCAUUUACUUGUGAAUUGCCUGUCUGUGUUUAUGUAUGGAGGAGGGUAAAGACUUGAAGAGUCAAAAUUACUUUUAUUUUCCUUGUAAGUUUCUCCACAACUUAGCUUUUCAUCGAGCAUCCCAUAUUUAUUUCUGUGUAAUUAUGUCAUUAUUUGGUGCAUUUUAUAACCAGAGAUGCUAAAAAUUGUUCUAUCCCACCCUUCCAUGCUGAAGUCAGAUGAGCCACAGUGGUGGCACAGAAUCCAGACCCACCCAGCAGUUAGACGGGGCCUCACUUACCCAUGGAAAACAGUCCUGGAUGAGCACACCAAUUUACCCAGGAGAAUAAGCAAAGAAACACUGUAGGUAAUAGAGUCAAAUACUAACUCAACGACAGAAAUUUAAUUAGGACCACACGAUUUACUUGUAUGUAAGAUGUUUCAUAUAUCAAAGGCAAAUUAGGAGUUAAAUGGGAGAAGGAAAAACUGAAGACAAGUUGGAAAUAAAAAACAGCUUGUCAUGUUCUUGCCCUUUUCUUGGUCAAGCUGUUGAUUAGCAGGCAGCUAGCUAAG
ensembl:lncRNA